rnacentral:rRNA from 1 species
AGUGAACGCUGGCGGUAGGCCUAACACAUGCAAGUCGAACGGCAGCACAGUAAGAGCUUGCUCUUACGGGUGGCGAGUGGCGGACGGGUGAGGAAUACAUCGGAAUCUACUUUUUCGUGGGGGCUAACGUAGGGAAACUUACGCUAAUACCGCAUACGACCUACGGGUGAAAGCAGGGGAUCUUCGGACCUUGCGCGAUUGAAUGAGCCGAUGUCGGAUUAGCUAGUUGGCGGGGUAAAGGCCCACCAAGGCGACGAUCCGUAGCUGGUCUGAGAGGAUGAUCAGCCACACUGGAACUGAGACACGGUCCAGACUCCUACGGGAGGCAGCAGUGGGGAAUAUUGGACAAUGGGCGCAAGCCUGAUCCAGCCAUACCGCGUGGGUGAAGAAGGCCUUCGGGUUGUAAAGCCCUUUUGUUGGGAAAGAAAAGCAGCAGGUUAAUACCCCGCAGUUCUGACGGUACCCAAAGAAUAAGCACCGGCUAACUUCGUG